rnacentral:rRNA from 1 species
GACAGAGGGUGCAAGCGUUGUUCGGAAUCACUGGGCGUAAAGGGCGUGUAGGCGGGAAGGGAAGUCAGAUGUGAAAUCCCUGGGCUCAACCCAGGAACUGCAUUUGAAACUCCCUUUCUUGAGUACCGGAGAGGAAAGUGGAAUUCCUGGUGUAGAGGUGAAAUUCGUAGAUAUCAGGAGGAACACCGGUGGCGAAGGCGGCUUUCUGGACGGUAACUGACGCUGAGACGCGAAAGCGUGGGGAGCAAACAGG